UACGUAGGGUGCAAGCGUUAAUCGGAAUUACUGGGCGUAAAGCGUGCGCAGGCGGUUUUGUAAGUCUGUCGUGAAAGCCCCCGGGCUCAACCUGGGAAUUGCGAUGGAGACUGCAAGGCUUGAAUCUGGCAGAGGGGGGGUAGAAUUCCACGUGUAGCAGUGAAAUGCGUAGAGAUGUGGAGGAACACCGAUGGCGAAGGCAGCCCCCCUGGGUCAAGAUUGACGCUCAUGCACGAAAGCGUGGGGAGCAAACAGG
rnacentral:rRNA from 1 species